UUGGCUUGGGAACGGGGGAGGUCAGGAGUACACCCGGGGUAGGGGUAAAAUCCGUUGAGCCUGGGUGGACUACCAGUGGCGAAGGCGCCUGACCAAAACGUGUCCGACGGUGAGGAACGAAAGCUGGGGGAGCGAACGGGAUUAGAUACCCCGGUAGUCCCAGCUGUAAAUAAUGCGGACUGUGGUGUUGCUUCAGAGUUAAUCUGCAGCAGUGCUGUAGCGUAGGUGUUAAGUCCGCCGCCUGGGGAGUACGCUCGCAAGAGUGAAACUUAAAGGAAUUGGCGGGGGAGCACCACAAGGGGUGGAUGCUACGGUUUAAUUGGAUACAACGCCGUGAACUUCACCAAGGGCGACGGCAGUAUGAAGGCCAGACUAAAGAUCUUGCCUGACGAGCCGAGAGGUGUUGCAUGGCCAUCGUCAGCUCGUGGCGUGAGUUGUCUGGUUAAGUCCAGCAACGAGCGAGACCCAUACCAUUAAUUGCUACUUUCACCUUUAGUGAGAGGCACCUUAAUGGGACUGCCCGCGUUAAGUGGGAGGAAGGAGUGGGCGACGGUAGGUCAGUAUGACCCGAAUCCCUUGGGCUACACGCGGCAUACAAUGGUCGGAACAAUGGGCAGCGACUCCGAAAGGAGAAGCCAAUCCCCUAAAUCCGGCCUAAGUUCGGAUUGAGGGUUGAAACCCACCCUCAUGAAGCUGGAAUCCCUAGUAAUCGCGUGUCAUCAUCGCGCGGUGAAUGAGUCCCCGCUCCUUGCACACACCGCCUGUCAAGUCACCCAAAUGCGGUGUAGGUGAGGCUCCGGUUUAUGCCGGAUUCGAACCUAUGUUGCGUGAGGGGGGCUAAGUCAUAACAAGGUAUCCGUAGGGGAACCUGCGGAUAGAUCACCUCCAAAU
rnacentral:rRNA from 1 species